GGAAUGUGGAAAAAUUCAGCUCUUAAGUUACAAGAUGAAACAUUCACAUUUGGUUUUCAAAAGAUAAUUGACCGACAUCUAUGAAUUUAUUUUGUAUCAUGCUAGUAAACAAUGUGUAUGGGUAUUUUCUCAGCUAGUUUUUGCUUUCUUUUUCUGGAACAAAACAUUAAGUGAUUGCCAGGUUUUUCAAGUGAGAGAAAAAGUUUUGCAAGAAAACCAGGAAACUUUCCUUUUUUUUUUCCCCCACUCUCCUCAUCUUCAUUAGAUCAAAUUAUUUUGUAAAGCUUAUUGUCCUCACAGGGGAGCAACCUUUGCUUUGUUAACUGGCUGGUUAAAAUAUAUUAGGAACAUCUUUACACCCAGAAACAACUUAGUCAUCAGGUAGCAAGUGAAACCAAAAUGUCAGAGGGAUUAGUGUACUUAGGAGUAUGUUGUAUGUCCUGAAAGUGAGUAGGUAAUUUUAUAAUUUAUUAGAUCAACUUUGGAGAUGAAAGAUUGGAAAUCCUACUGGUAGACAUUCACUGGACUAGCUUUGGACUGAAAUACUUCCUUAUAAUCCUUUUCCCCUUAUCUUUUCCCUCUAGUGUCCCCUAAUUUUUUCUUUAAAGUCAGCGGAGGACUGUAUGUGAAUCUUUAUUGUGGUGUAUAUGUCUACCAUUUGUCUGAUUACUUGAUGUAUUAUAUCUUGAUUUAUUUGUUGCCCCUUGAGCCAGCACAUGCCAAAUUAUAAAUGAAUCCUUCUGGCCUUUAUGAGACAGCUUCCCAGUUGUCAAGUGUUUGGCGUACGUAGGCUAUUGCCGACGCUUAACCUUAUGCUUACAUAAAGAAUUUAAACUCUGACUUAUUCAGAUAAAAUGUCUGGCUUUGUUUUA
rnacentral:lncRNA from 1 species